UUAAUUUGGAUUUUUUUGAUA
rnacentral:piRNA from 1 species